GGAGAGUGCGAACGUUGUUCGGAUUCACUGGGCGUAAAGGGCACGUAGGCGGCUCGGCAAAUCGGUCGUGGAAUCCCGACGCUUACCGUCAGAACGGCGGCCGAAAAUACCGGGCUCGAGGGCGUGAGGGGUCACUGGAACUCCUGGUGAAGCGGUGAAAUGCGUAGAUAUCAGGAGGAACGCCGGAGGCGAAAGCGAGUGACUGGCGCGUUCCUGACGCUGAGGUGCGAAAGCUAGGGGAGCAAACAGGAUUAGAUACCCUGGUAGUCCUAGCCGUAAACGAUGGACACUGAGUGGGGGAGGGCUUGCCUUUCCCUGCUGCAGCUAACGCGUUAAGUGUCCCGCCUGGGGAGUACGGCCGCAAGGUUA
rnacentral:rRNA from 1 species